UAUUAAUUACAGGUAGUGUGGUACCAUGAGGUAAUGGCUGUAUUAAUUACAGGUAGUGUGGUACCAUGAGGUAAUGGCUGUAUUAAUUACAGGUAGUGUGGUACCGUGAGGUAAUGGCUGUAUUAAUGGCUGUAUUAAUUACAGGUAGUGUGGUACCAUGAGGUAAUGGC